UACGAGGGGGGCGAGCGUUGUUCGGAAUUAUUGGGCGUAAAGGGUGCGUAGGCGGUUUGAUAAGUCUGAUGUGAAAUCUAUGGGCUCAACCCAUAGCCUGCAUUAGAAACUGUCGGGCUUGAGUAUGGGAGAGGUGAGUGGAAUUUCCGGUGUAGCAGUGAAAUGCGUAGAUAUCGUGAGGAACACCAGAGGCGAAGGCGGUUUCCUGGACAGUUACUGACGCUCAGGCACGAAAGCGUGGGGAGCAAAAGGG
rnacentral:rRNA from 1 species